GCAACAGCAAUUUCUAACAAUGAGAGGAGGGCAAGAAGUAUUAGGGUAAAUAUAGCAGUCAAUGUAGAAAUUGUUAGGAGUUUAAAGGUUGCGGUAGCGAUGAGGUGAAUAAGUAGAUGUCCGGCUGUAAGGUUGGCUGUGAGACGGACGCCUAAGGCUAAUGGACGGAUGAGUAGACUUACUGUUUCAAUAAUAACUAGAAUGGGAAUUAAAAGAGUUAGGGUUUACAAGGCUGAACUUUUAUUCAUUUCUUAAGCAACCAGCUAUUACUACAUUCGGUAGAUGUGUCGUCUCUACUUGAGGCUCUUCCUACUCUUUUGCCACAGAGAUUGGGAUAAUCCUUUAAAAUUGAUGGCCUGAAGUAGCUCAUGUAGUUUCGGGGAAUAAAGCUGAAGGAGGUCUGUGCUUAUUAGACUAGCUAGUCCAUGAUGCAAAAGGUACGGGGGUUAAGGCCUACUUUUUAGUGCUGGCAUAUUUAUUUCAAUUCUUUUUCAGCAUUCCCUUGCGGUACUUUUUCUAUAGUUCGUUUAACUUUUUCUAUCGUCUAUACUAAGGUAGUAAAUAUUUUGUUAGUUGCGAAAAUGUUAUUUGUU